rnacentral:rRNA from 1 species
AUUGAACGCUGGCGGCAGGCCUAACACAUGCAAGUCGAACGAGUGGCGGACGGGUGAGUAAUGUCUGGGAAACUGCCUGAUGGAGGGGGAUAACUACUGGAAACGGUAGCUAAUACCGCAUACCAUCAGAUGUGCCCAGAUGGGAUUAGCUAGUUGGUGGGGUAACGGCUCACCAAGGCGACGAUCCCUAGCUGGUCUGAGAGGAUGACAAGCAACACUGGAACUGAGAAAGGGUCCAGACUCAUAGGGGAGGAAGCAGUGGGGAAUAGUGAAAAAUGGGAGAAAGCCUGAGGCAGCCAUGCGGCGUGUAUGAAGAAGGCCUUCGGGUUGUAAAGUACUUUCAGCGGGGAGGCGUUACCCGCAGAAGAAGCACCGGCUAACUCCGUGCCAGCAGCCGCGGUAAUUC